rnacentral:rRNA from 1 species
UACGGAGGGUGCAAGCGUUAUCCGGAUUCACUGGGUUUAAAGGGUGCGUAGGUGGGCUAGUAAGUCCGUGGUGAAAUCCCCGAGCUUAACUCGGGAACUGCCGUGGAUACUAUUAGUCUUGAAUAUCGUGGAGGUAAGCGGAAUAUGUCAUGUAGCGGUGAAAUGCUUAGAUAUGACAUAGAACACCGAUAGCGGAGGCAGCUUACUACGCGAUUAUUGACACUGAGGCACGAAAGCGUGGGGAUUAAACAGG